GUUUCUCAUAUUCAUCUGAUCAUUUUUGUUUUAUUUUUUGAUUUUGGUAGUCUUUCUUCCUCUACAUGGUUUUUGUGAGGUUGCUCCACAGGCUAACCAAAACGCAAAAGUCUAUAGACAGGUUGAAUAAAUGAAAGAUUAGAGCUCCAAUAUUUCAAAGAUAAACCUGGAGUAAUUAUUUGCAUGGAAGUUAUUGUCAGGAUGAUGAGAUAUUACCACCCACCCACGAAGUGCAAAACAAAGGGAUAAUUCUGAGAUGAGCUUGGAAGAUUAAAAUUGUGGAGAAGAU